rnacentral:sRNA from 1 species
CCUGUAUACACGGCCGCCGCA